GAUGAACGCUGGCGGCGUGCCUAAUACAUGCAAGUCGAGCGAACAGACGAGGAGCUUGCUCCUCUGACGUUAGCGGCGGACGGGUGAGUAACACGUGGAUAACCUACCUUUAAGACUGGGAUAACUUCGGGAAACCGGAGCUAAUACCGGAUAAUAUAUUGAACCGCAUGGUUCAAUAGUGAAAGACGGUUUUGCUGUCCCUUAUAGAUGGAUCCGCGCCGCAUUAGCUAGUUGGUAAGGUAACGGCUUACCAAGGCAACGAUGCGUAGCCGACCUGAGAGGGUGAUCGGCCACACUGGAACUGAGACACGGUCCAGACUCCUACGGGAGGCAGCAGUAGGGAAUCUUCCGCAAUGGGCGAAAGCCUGACGGAGCAACGCCGCGUGAGUGAUGAAGGUCUUCGGAUCGUAAAACUCUGUUAUUAGGGAAGAACAAAUGUGUAAGUAACUAUGCACGUCUUGACGGUACCUAAUCAGAAAGCCACGGCUAACUACGUG
rnacentral:rRNA from 1 species